AUUGAACGCUGGCGGCAGGCCUAACACAUGCAAGUCGAGCGAGCGGCGGAGAGGUGAGGAAUGUCUGUGAAAAUGUCUGAGGGAGGGGGAUAAAUACAGGAGAAGGUAGCUAAUACAGCAUACAAUAAGAUGUGCACAGAUGGGGUUAGCGAGUAGGUGGGGGAAUGGCGCACCUAGACGACGAUACCUAGCUGGUCGGAGAGGGUGACCAGCCACACUGGAACUGAUACACGGCCCAGACUCCUACGGUAGGCAGCAGUGGGGAAUAUUGCACAAUGGGCGCAAGCCUGAUGCAGCCAUGCCGCGUGUGUGAAGAAGGCCUUCGGGUUGUAAAGCACUUUCAGCGGGGAGGCGUUACCCACAGAAGAAGCACCGGCUAACUCCGUGCCAGCAGCCGCGGUAAUAC
rnacentral:rRNA from 1 species